rnacentral:lncRNA from 1 species
GAAAAACUAAGUGAAACUUUAAAUUCUUCUUGCAGAAUAUGCCAGUUGUAGACUCGAACGACAAGACGAACAAUGAAAUUUCAUGCAAUACCAAUCAUGACGCUGUUGACUAUCUAGCAGUUGAGGAAAAACUUGAAGAACCAGCAGUUGAAGAAAAACAUGAAGAACCAACAGUUGAAGAGAAACCUAGAGAACCAGCAGUUACGGAGAAACAUGAAGAACCAGCGAUUGAGGAAAACCCAGCUGUGGAAGAAAAACUUGAAGAACCAGAGGUUGAGGAGAAACAUGAAAAACCAGCAGCUGAAGAGAAACCUAGAGAACUAGUAGUUGAAGAAAAAGCUGAAGAACCAACACCGGAAGAACUAGAAUUUGAAGAGAAACCUGAAGAACCAACUGCUGAAGAAAUACCUGAACAAUUAGUAGUUGAAGAGAAAUCUGAAAAACCAGAGGUUAAAGAGGAGAAGUCUGAAAAGGUAACUCUCUUGGAAAAAGUGAGGAUCAAGCACUAUCACAAAGUUUAUCCAUCCUAUUAGUUCUGUAUGUGCAAAGAUUCGUAUCUACUUAUCAAUUGAAAGAUUAAGUGAAACUUUAAAUUCUUCUUGCAGAAUAUGUCAGUUGUAGAUUUCAAUGAGAAGACUGACAGUGAAAUUCCAUGCAAUACCAACAAUGAUGUUGCCGACUAUGUAUCAGUUGAGGCAAACCUUGAAGAACCGGUAGUUGAAGAAAAACCUGAAGAAACAACGGUUGAGAAGAAACCUGAAGAACCAUCAAUUGAGGAGAAACGUGAAACACCAGCAUUUGAGAAGAAACCUGAAGAACCAAUAAUUGAGGAGAAACCUGAAGAACAAACAAUUGAAGAGGAGAAACAUGAAAGGAUAACUCUCCUGGAAAAGGUGAGGAUCAAGCAUUGUCACAAAGUUUAUCCAUCUUGUUAGUCGUGUAUACGAUACAAUUUACAUAUGCUUACCUACUGAAAGACUAAGUAAGACUUUAAAGUUCUUCUUGCAGAGUAUUCCAGUUGUAGUCCCGAACGACAAAACUGAAAGUAAAACUCCAAGCAUUACAAACAAUAAUGCUGCUCACUUUUCAGAAGUUGAGGAAAACCCUGAAGAACCUGCAGUAAAAGAAAAAACUGAAAAACCAGUUCUUGAAGAGAAACCUGAAGAACCAACAGUUGAAGAGAAAUCUGAAGAACCAGUUGAGGAGAAACCUGAAGAACCAACAGCUGAAGAGAAACCUGAAGAACCAGCAACUAAAGAAAAACAAGUGCUAGUAGGGGAGGAAACAGCUGAAGAACUAGCGCUUGAAGAGAAACCUGAAGAACUAACGAUUGAACAGACAGAUGAAGAACUAGUUGUUGAAGAUAAAACUGAAAAACCACCAAAUAAAGAGGAGAGACCUGAAACGGUAACUCUCCUUUAGCAGUGUCACAGAGUUUAUCCAUCCUAUUAGUUCUAUAUGUGCAACGAAUUCAUAUCUGUUUAUCUAUUGAAAUACUAAGUGAAAAUUCAAAUUUUCUUGCAGAAUUUGCCCAUUGCAGACUCAAAGGACCAGACUGACAAUGCAAUUCCAUGCGAUACCAACAAUGAUAUUGCUGACUAUGCAACAGUUGAGGAAAAACCUGAAGAAACAGUAGUUGAAGAAAAACAUGAAGAACCUGCAAUUGAAAAGAAAUUUGAAGAAUCAACAGUUAUGGAGAAACCUGAAGAACCAGCAGUGGAAGAAAAACCUGAAGAACCAACAGUUAAAGAGGAACCUGAAAAAUCAGUGAUGGAAGAGAAACCUGAAGAACCAAUUGUUGAGGAGAAACUUGAAGAACCAACUGUUGAAGAGAAACCUGAAAAAUCACUGAUUGAAGAAACACCUGAAGAACCAAUAUGGGAAGAAACACCUAAAGAACUAGCAUUUGAAGAGAAACCAGAAGAACCAGCAGUUGAAGAGGAGAAACCUGAAAAGGUAACUCUUUUGGAAGAGGUGAGUAUCAAGCAUUAGCACAUAGUUUAUCCAUCAUGUUAUUUCUGUAUGUGCAUCGAUUCACAUCUGCUUAUCUAUUGAAAGUCUAAAUGAGACUUUAAAUUCUUCUUGCAGAAUAUACCAGCUGUAGAUUUCAACGACAAGACUGACCGUGAAAUUCCAUGCGAUACCAACAAUGAUAUUGCUGACUAUGCAACAGUUGAGGAAAAACCUGAAGAACCGGUAGUUGAAGAAAAACAUGAAGAACCUGCAAUUGAAAAGAAAUUUGAAGAAUCAACGGUUAUGGAGAAACCUGAAAAACCAGUGGUUAAGGUACAACCUGAAGAACCAGCAGUGGAAGAAAAAGUUGAAGAACCAACAGUUAAUGAGGAACCUGAAAAAUCAGCGAUGGAAGAGAACCCUGAAGAAUCAAUUGUUGAGGAGAAACUUGAAGAACCAACUGUUGAAGAGAAACCUGAAAAAUCACUGAUUGAAGAAACACCUGAAGAACCAAUAUGGAAAGAAACACCUAAAGAACUAGCAUUUGAAGAGCAACCAGAAGAACCAGCAGUUGAAGAGGAGAAACCUGAAAAGGUAUCUCUUUUGGAAGAGGUGAGUAUCAAGCAUUAUCACAUAGUUUAUCCAUCCUGUUAUUUCUGUAUGUGCGACGAUUCACAUCUGCUUAUCUAUUGAAAGACUAAAUGAGACUUUAAAUUCUUCUUGCAGAAUAUGCCAGCUGUAGAUUUCAACGACAAGACUGACUGUGAAAUUCCAUGCAAUACCAACAAUGAUGUUGCUGAAUAUGUAGCAAUUGAGGAAAACCUUGAAGAACCAGCAGUUGAAGAAAAACAUGAAGAACCAACAGUUGAGGAGAAACCUGAAGAACUAGCAGUUGAAGAGAAACCCGAAAAACCAACAAUUGAGGAGAAACAUGAAGAACCAAUAGUUGAGAAGAAACCUGAAGAACCAGUAGUUGAGGAGAAACCAGAAGAACCACUAAUUGAAGAGGAGAAAUCUGAAAGGGUAACUUUCCUAGAAAAGGUGAGGAUCAAGCAUUGUCAAAAGGUUUAUCCAUCUUAUUAGUUGUGUAUGUGCGACGAUUCACAUCUGCUUACUUAUUGAAAGACUAAGUGAAACUUCAAAAUUCUUGCAGAGUAUGCUAGUUGUAGACUCGAACGACAAGACUGACAGUGAAAUUCCAUGCAAUACCAACAAAGAUGCUGCCCACUUUCCCGAAGUUGAGGCAAACCCUGAAGAACCAGCAGUUGAAGGAAAACCUAAAGAACCCGUUGAUGAAGAGAAACCAGAUGUACCAGUGGUUGAGAAACCUGAAAAACAAAUGGUUGAGGAGAAACUUGAAGAACCAAUGAUUGAGGAGAAAUCUGACGAACUAGUCGAGGAGAAAUCUCAACAACCAGCGGCUGAAAAGAAACCUGAAGAACCAGCAGCUAAAGAAUCACUUAAAGAGCUAGCAGGGGAGGAAACAACUGAAGAACUAGCACUUGAAGAGAAACUUAGAGAACCAACAGUUGAAGAACUAGUUCUUGAAGAUAAACCUGAAAACCCAGAAAAUGAAGAGGAUAAACUUGAAACAGUAACUCUCCAGGAAAAGGUAAGAAACAAGCAGUGUCACAGAGUUUAUCCAUCCUAUUAGCUCUACAUAUGCAAUGAAUUCACAUCUGUUUAUCCACUGAAAGACUAAGUGAAACUUUAAAUUUUUCUUGCAGAAUUUACCAAUUGCAGACUCAAACGACAAGACUGACAAUGCAACUCCCUGCAAUAACAACAAUGAUAUUGCUGACUCUGCAGCAGUUAAGGAAAAAACUGAAGAACCAGUAGUUGAGGAAAAACAUGAAGAACCGGCAACUGAAGAGAAAUCUGAAGAAUCAGAAUUUAUGAAAAAAACUGAAGAACCAGCGGUUGAGGUAAAACCUGAAGAACCAUCAGUGGAAGAGAAGCCUGAAGAACCAGCGGUUAGGAAAAAUCCUGAAGAACCAGCAGUUAAUGAGGAACCUGCAAAAUCAGCAACGGAAGAGAAACCUGAAGAACCAAUUGCUGAGGAGAAACUUGAAGAACCAACUCUUAAAGAGAAACCUGGAAAACCAGUAAUUGAAGAAACACCUGAAGAACCAACACUGGAAGUAACACCUAAAGAACAAGCAGAGAAACCUGAAGAACCAGUUGAAGAGGAAAAAACUGACAAGGUAACUCUUUUGGAAAAGGUGAGCAUCAAACACUGUCACAAAUUUUUGCCAUCAUAUUAGUUCUGUAUGUGCAACAAUUCACAUCUAAUUAUCCAUUGAAAGACUAAGUGAAACUUUAAUUCUUCUUGCAGAAUAUACCAGUUGUAGAUUUCAAUGAUACGACUGACAGUGAAAUUCCAUGCAAUACCAACGACGAUGUUGCUGAAGACGUAGCAGUUGAGGAAAACCUUGAAGAACCAUCAGUUGAGGAGAAACCUGAAGAAUUAGCGGUUGAAGAGAAACCUGAAAAACCAGCAAUUGAGGAGAAACGUGAAGAACCAAUAAUUGAGAAGAAACCUAAAGAACCAGCAGUUGAGGAGAAACCUGAAGAACAAACCGUUGAAGAGAGACUUGAAGAACCAACAAUUGAAGAUGAGAAACUUGAAGAACCAACAAAUGAAGAUGAGAAACUUGAAAGGGUAACUCUCCUAGGAAAGGUGAGGAUCUAGCACUGUCACAAAGUUUGUCCAUCCUAAUAGUUUUAUACGUGCAAGACUUUCAGAUCUGCUUAUUGAAAAACUAAAUGAAACUUUAAAUUCUUCUUACAGAAUAUGCAAGUUGUAGACUCCAUCGACAAGACUGACUGUGAAAUUCCAUGCAACACCAACAAUGAUGUUGCUUACCAUCCAGCAGUUGAGGAAAAUCUAGAAAAAACAGCAAUUGUGGAAACAACUGAUGAACCAGUGGUUGAAGAGAAACCUGAUGUACCAGCGAUUAAGGAGAAACCUGAAGUACCAAAUAUUGAGCAGAAACUUGAAGAGUUAGCAGGAGAGGAAACACAUGAAGAACUAGCAGUUGAAGAGAAACUAGAAGAACCAAUUACUGAAGAGACACCUGCAGAACUAGUUAUAGAAGAGAAACCUGAAAACCCAGCAGUUGAAGAGGAGAAACCUGAAACAGACGCUCUCCAAACGAAGGUCAGGAUUAAACAUUGUCACAAAAUUUAUCCAUCCUAUUAGCUUUAUAUGUGCAAGGAACUCACAUAUGCUAAUCUAUUGAAAGACUAAGUCAAACUUUAAAUUUUUCUUGCAGAAUAUGCCAAUUGUAGACUCAAAGGACAAGAUUGACAUUGAAAGUCCAGGCAAUAUCAACAAUGAUGGUGCUGACUAUCCAGAAGUUGAAGAUAAACCUGAAGAACUAGCAGUUGAAGAAAAACAUGAAGAACAAGCAAUUGAAGAGAAGCCUGAAGAACCAGCAAUUAAGGAAAAAGCUGAUGAACCAGCAGUGCAAGAAAAACUUGAAGAACCAGCUGUGGAAAAGAAACCUGAAGAACCAGUGGCUACGGAGAAACCUGAAGAACCAGCAAUUAAGGAAAAAGCUGAUGAACCAGCAGCGCAGGAGAAACCUGAAGAACCAGCUGUGGGAAAGAAACCUGAAGAACCAGUGGCUACGGAGAAACCUAAAGAACCAGCAAUUAAGGAAAAAGCUGAUGAACCAGCAGUGCAAGAGAAACCUGAAGAACCAGCUGUGGAAAAGAUACCUGAAGAACCAGCAGUCGAGGAGAAAUUUGACGAACCAGCAGUUGGAGAGAAAUCAGAAGAACCAGUAGUUGAACAAACACCUGCAGGACCAGCAUGGGAAGAAACACCUAAAGAACUAGCAUUUGAAGAGAAACCUGAAGAACCAGCAGUUGAAGAAACACCUGAAGAACCAGCAGUUGAAGAAACACCUGAAGAACUAGCAGUUGAAAAGAACCCUGAAAAAACAGCAGUCGGAGAGAAACAUGAAAAAGUAACUCUCUUGGAAAAGGUGAGGAUCAAGCACAAUCACAAAUUUUAUCCAUCCUAUUAGUUAUGUAUGUGCAACAAUUCACAUCCGCCUGGUGGAAGAUUAAGUUAAACUUUAAUUCUUCUUGCAGAAUAUACCAAUUAUAGAGUUAAACGAGAAGAAUGACAGCUCAACUCCUUGCAAUACCAACAAUGAUGUUGCUGACUAUCUAGCAGUUGAGGAAAAACCUGAAGAACCAGCCAUUGAGAAAAAACCUGAAGAACCAAUGGCUAAGGAGAAACUUGAAGAACCGAAUGUUGAGGAUAAACCUGAAAAAUCAGUGAUAGAGGAGAAAUCUGAAAAACUAGCAACUGAAGACAUACUUGAAGAGCGAGCAGGGGAGGAAACACCUGAAGCACUAGCAGUUGAAGAGAAACCUGACGAAUCAGCAGUUGAAGAGACAGUUGAAGAACUAGCUAUUGAACAGAAAUCUAAAAAAACAGCAACUGAAAAAGAGAAACCUGAAGCCGUAACUCUCCUGGAAAAGGUGAUCAACCACUGUCACAGGGAUUCCUUGCUCUAUAUGUGCAAGGAAUUUACAUCUACUUAUCUAUUGAAAGAUUUAGUGAAACUUUAAAUUCUUCUUGCAGAAUAUGCCAGUUGUAGAUACAAAGGACGAGAUUAACAGUGAAAUUCCAUGCAAUGCCAGCAAUGAUGUUUCUGACUAUCCAGCAGUUGAGGCAAAACCUGAAGAACUAUCCGUUGAAAAAAAAUAUGAAGAACCACCAGCAGUUAUAUUGGAGAAACCUGCAGAACUAGCAGUUGAGGAGACACCUGAAAAAACACUAGUUGAAGAGAAGCCUGAAAACCCAGCAGCACGGGAAGAAACACUUGAAGAACCAGCAUUGGAAGAAACACCUGAAGAACCAACAGUUGAAGAGAAACCUGAAGAAGUAGUAGUUGAAGAAAAACUUGAUAAACCAGCAACUGAAAAAGAGAAACCUGAAAAGGUAACUUUCUGCGAAAAGGUGAGGAUCAAGCACUACCACAAAGUUUGCCAAUC